UAGGGAAUCUUCGGCAAUGGGGGCAACCCUGACCGAGCAACGCCGCGUGAGUGAAGAAGGUUUUCGGAUCGUAAAGCUCUGUUGUAAGUCAAGAACGAGUGUGAGAGUGGAAAGUUCACACUGUGACGGUAGCUUACCAGAAAGGGACGGCUAACUACGUGCCAGCAGCCGCGGUAAUACGUAGGUCCCGAGCGUUGUCCGGAUUUAUUGGGCGUAAAGCGAGCGCAGGCGGUUUGAUAAGUCUGAAGUUAAAGGCUGUGGCUCAACCAUAGUUCGCUUUGGAAACUGUCAAACUUGAGUGCAGAAGGGGAGAGUGGAAUUCCAUGUGUAGCGGUGAAAUGCGUAGAUAUAUGGAGGAACACCGGUGGCGAAAGCGGCUCUCUGGUCUGUAACUGACGCUGAGGCUCGAAAGCGUGGGGAGCGAACAGGAUUAGAUACCCUGGCAGUCCACGCCGUAAACGAUGAGUGCUAGGUGUUGGAUCCUUUCCGGGAUUCAGUGCCGCAGCUAACGCAUUAAGCACUCCGCCUGGGGAGUACGACCGCAAGGUUG
rnacentral:rRNA from 1 species